CGACAAAAAUUAUUUUAAAUACGACUAUAUAACAAAAAAAAAAAAAAAAAAAAAAAAAAAAAAAAAUACUACAUUAAAUUCUAUUUUGAGGUCUCAUUAAGGGGAGAGUCAUGGGUGAACAGACGACUUAAAUAUCUCAUAGCCAAAAAUCUGUCGUGUUAGAUUCGAAGAUGGUGUUGGUCACAGCUGCGGCCAGCGUCAAUUUUAUGAUUCUUCCUGUAAACACAUUAGAAAAACGCAUCUUCACCGAUUCUCGUCCUUUAUUAUUAUUAUUUUUUUGUCAAAUUUUCGAUUCUAUUUUUAAAGAAUUAAUAAAAGAUGUCGGCAAUGAUCCAUCAACAAAAAAAAAUUUUUUUUUUUUCGGUAACCGAAUAUGUUUCGUAACUUCAUCUCUGUCGAGUGCAGUUAAAGAUAACUCUCGUCGGUGACCCAGGAAGACAUAAAUUAAUAUUAUUAUACUUAUGUAAUGCAUAUGUUGUCUGUUUUAAUAAAGCGAUGAUAAUGUUUGCAAUUCUACACGGCUCCUAUCAUUUUUUUAAUGUUUUUUUUUAAUGGUGUUACUUUGCAUCAUCAUUUCAAAUCCGAACCUUAAUAUAUAGAUCAAUGCGUUCGGAUUUAUUAAAUGCACGGCACCGUUUUAGAUGUUCUUUGAACUUCUGCGAACAGAUUUAUUUUUAUUCUAAAAAAAAAAAAAAAAAAAAGACUUAAUUUUAUAAAACGUAUUUAAAGAAGAAUUUUAUUUUUUUGAACGAUUUAAUAUAAUUU
rnacentral:lncRNA from 1 species